rnacentral:lncRNA from 1 species
CCUGCAGUCUGCUGUGCAUCAGCUGGUAGCUGAUGUGUGCUGCUUGCAUCUGGAAGUUCACUUUCUGUGGCCAGAGAGUAGAAGAUGGACAGGUGUUUGCAGAAUAUACCUUAAUGAAGAAACAGAAAUCUGUUCUCGGUGACCAGAAUCAUUCCAGCUUCAAUGAGUGUGAGAGGUGAGUUUUGAAAUGACCUUUUUUAAAGCAAUGGACAACUUCCAUUAUUUCGUGUGAAAAUUAGGUGGCCUUAUUAUAAAACAUGUAGUAUACGGAAUCAUAGAAUUAUCUAGGUUGGAAAAGGCCUUCAAGAUCAUCAAGUCCAAC